GGGGUGGAUGGGCAGCCAUGCUGUCUGGGUGUAAGACCGUGGGUGUCAUACAGGGUGGGUGUCGUCGGGGUGGAUGGGAGGGCAUGCUGUCUGGGUGUAAGACCGUGGGUGUCACACAGUGUGGGUGUCGUCGGGGUGGGAGGGCAUGCUGUCUGGGUGUAAGACCGUGGGUGUCACACAGUGUGGGUGUCGUCGGGGUGGAUGGGCAGCCAUGCUGUCUGGGUGUAAGAUCGUGGGUGUCACACAGUGUGGGUGUCGUCGGGGUGGAUGGGCGGGCAUGCUGUCUAGGUGUAAGACCGUGGGUGUCACACAGUGUGGGUGUCGUCGGGGUGGGAGGGCAUGCUGUCUGGGUGUAAGACCGUGGGUGUCACACAGUGUGGGUGUCGUCGGGGUGGGAGGGCGUGCUGUCUGGGUGUAAGACCGUGGGUGUCACACAGUGUGGGUGUCGUCGGGGUGGGAGGGCAUGCUGUCUGGG